rnacentral:lncRNA from 1 species
GGCACUUGCAACUUUAUUGCGCCAGCAAGAACAUGCAUACAGCCCAGUCUAACGUACAGGAUCAAAAAGAGACCUUAUUUCGGCUGGCAAUUACCUUACCCGCUUGUUCAUUAUCUGACUCCUGCACUCCUCCCAAGUGUUCAAUGUUAACCAGAUGGCAAAGUUAACCAGACAGAGGAAAUCCACAUAAUUACUCUAGAUGAAGCCCCCUAACUGCGGAUUAGAAGGAAAAGAGAUGAAGGGUGCUGCACUAAUAAUAACAACCAUUUUCAACCAAGGCAGGAUUCUGGGCCUAGAAUCUUCAGUGACAAAUUACCAGGAGAGGAGGAGGGAAAUGAAGAGCUGGAGGCCUAGGGAGAUGGUGUGAGGAGAGGAGACUGUGCCUUUCCACUUCUUAAUAAUUAAUGUUCUCCUGCUGCUCUGAGUCUGCAUCACCAGUGAUUCAGUUUGAGUCAGACAUCCAACAACAACUGAGCAAAAGAAUCAUCUCAGAUCCAAGCAAUGGUGACGCGCAGAUAGAAGAGACUGAGGCCAACGACCAAAGCAAAGGACAGCAGAACUGACUGACACAGCUCAGAAAAUAUCCAAAGCUCUGGUCUUGCUCUGUCACCCACACUGGAGUGCAAUGCCACCAUCUUGGCUCACUGCAGCCUUGACCUCCUUGGGCUCAAGUGAUCCUCCUGCUUCAGCCUACCAUGUAGCUGGGACUACAGGUGUGCACCACCACACCAGCUAAUUUUUUUUUUUUUUGAGACAGAAUCUUGCUCUGUCACCCAGGCUACAGUGCGGUGGUGCGAUCUCGGCUCACUGCAAGCUCUGCCUCCCAGGUUCAAGCAAUUCUUCUGCCUCAGCCUCCCAAGUAGCUGGGACUACAGGAACCCACCACCAUGCCCAGCUAAUUUUUGUAUUUUUAGUAGAGACGGGGUUUCACCAUAUUGGCCAGGCUGGUCUUGAACUCCUGACCUCAUGAUCCGCCCGCCUCCGCCUCCCAAAGUGCUGGGAUUACAGGUGUAAGCCACCGUGCCCGAGCCCACACCAGCUAAUUUUUAACUGGGCUCAAGUGAUCCUCCCAUCUCAGCCUCACAAAGUGCUGGAAUUCCAGGCAUGAGCCACCGCACCCAGGAUGAAGCACAGAUUCUUGAACUGGUUUGUCACGGCAGUUGGUGCUGAUCACUCCAAUGAAUACAGCUUGCCUGUGCCAUGAUCUCAAUCUGGGGGCACCAGUUAA